GAUGAACGCUGGCGGCGUGCUUAACACAUGCAAGUCGAACGGAAAGGCCCUGCUUUUGUGGGGUGCUCGAGUGGCGAACGGGUGAGUAACACGUGAGUAACCUGCCCUUGACUUUGGGAUAACUUCAGGAAACUGGGGCUAAUACCGGAUAGGAGCUCCUGCUGCAUGGUGGGGGUUGGAAAGUUUCGGCGGUUGGGGAUGGACUCGCGGCUUAUCAGCUUGUUGGUGGGGUAGUGGCUUACCAAGGCUUUGACGGGUAGCCGGCCUGAGAGGGUGACCGGCCACAUUGGGACUGAGAUACGGCCCAGACUCCUACGGGAGGCAGCAGUGGGGAAUAUUGCACAAUGGGCGGAAGCCUGAUGCAGCAACGCCGCGUGCGGGAUGACGGCCUUCGGGCUGUAAACCGCUUUCGCCUGUGACGAAGCGUGAGUGACGGUAAUGGGUAAAGAAGCACCGGCUAACUACGUG
rnacentral:rRNA from 1 species